rnacentral:rRNA from 1 species
GACGAACGCUGGCGGCGUGCUUAACACAUGCAAGUCGAACGGAAAGGCCCUGCUUUUGGGGGGCGCUCGAGUCGAGAACGGGUGAAACACACGUGUGUACUCUGCUCCUGAUCUUGGUAUACCUUCAGGACUCUGGGGCAUACACCGGAUAGGCGCUCCUGAUGCUUGGUGGGGGUUGGAAAGUUUCGGCGGUUGGGGACGGGCUCCCGGAUUACCAGGUUGUUGGUGGGGUAGUGGCUUACCCAGGCGUUGACGGGUAGCCGGCCGGAGAGGGUGGACGGGCAGAUUGGGAAUGAGAUACGGCCCAGACGCCUACGGGAGGCAGCAGUGGGGAAUAUUGCACAAUGGGCGCAAGCAUGAUGCAGCGACGCCGCGUGGGGGAUGAAGGGCGUAGGGUUGUAAACUCCGUUAGCUAGGGACGAAGCUUUUUGUGAAGGUAACUAGAUAAGAAGCACAGGCUAACUACGUG